AACUAUGCAACGCACCAUAUUGCAGCUCAAAAUGUAAGUUUAGAGACAGCAGGAAGCAUAGGAAAAAAUGUCCUGAGAUGUGCAAAGAUGAUCAGAAAAGGGAUGAAAGAGAAAAGGAGCUCGAAUUAUGCAUGAAAAAGUUACAAGAAGAAAACAGUCGUUUGAAGGAGAAUGUCUUGUGCACAAUUUGUCUUGAGGAAAAAGUAAAUGUUGCUUUUAAUCCC